rnacentral:tRNA from 1 species
GUCUAAAUAGUUUAAUUAGAAUAACAAUUUGUGGAGUUGUAGGUGUUUUUGUAAUCUUUGGAUC